CGACGGCGAUGGCGAUGGAAACGAUCCGCACCGAUCGUGGUGGAAGAAAAUAACAGGCUGCAAAAACAGCGGGUCGAAGAAAACACCACCACCACCAAGAGGGGCAGCCAAACAUCUAAACCUUGAGGCUGCCUUCAAAAAAAUGGAGGCCCGUUACCCAUGUACUUCGAUUACAAAUCAAAGACCUUUCAGUCGAUCGGGGACUACGGGGCUAUGUACAAAUCUUUGUUAGGCUCAUUGAUCGGAGAUGUCCCCCAGUACUACGAGUCAUGGGACGAUGUGCCUGAGUCUCUGAGGGACAAUAUCUUGGAGGAAAUACAGCGCUGGUUUGCGAUGGACCAGUACUUAGAGCUUGAUGAGGACGACCCCACCCGGAAGGCAGCAAAACAGGCUUUCCGUGCUGAUGCAGCUAGCAUAUAUAGGCAGAGAAAGUCAAAAUUCAAAUCUCAGCAUUUUACAGCA